AUCUGGGUGGCUCAGUGGUUGAGCACCUGCCUUCAGCUCAGGUUGUGAUCCCCAGAUC
rnacentral:tRNA from 1 species